GCCUGAAAUCUAGCCUUAAAUUUUACCCGCAUGACCUCCUAAUCCUACUGCUUACAAACAAAACAUUUUAACAUUUUAGUACAGGCGAUCAAAAAAUUUCUAAGCGCUUCAGAUGUAGUACCGCAAGGGAACGAUGAAAUAAAAAUGAAAUAGUUUUAAAGCCAAAAACAGCAGAGAUUAACUCUCGUACCUUUUGCAUCAUGGUCUAGCUAGUCCCCCCAAGCAAAACGAAACUUUUAGUUUGUCACCCCGAAACUAAGCGAGCUACUUCAAAACAGCCCAAAGGGCCAACCCGUCUCUGUUGCAAAAGAGUGGGAAGAUUUUUAAGUAGAGGUGAAAAGCCUACCGAGCUUAGAGAUAGCUGGUUGUUCAGGAAAAGAGUUUUAGCUCUACCUUAAAUUUUUUAUGUGACUUAAACAUAACCCUAAAUUUAAGAGCUAUUCAAAUAAGGCACAGCUUAUUUGAAACAGGGUACAACCUCUAACACCGGGUAAAAGUGGGAGACCCUAACAAAGUGGGCCUAAAAGCAGCCACCUUCUAAAAAGCGUUAAAGCUUAACCAUUAUGUCUCCCCCCAAUUUCUAUAUACCUAUUUAACCCUUCACUACUACUGAACUAUUUUAUAUUUUUAUAAAAGCAAUUAUGCUAGAACUAGUAACAAGAAAAUGCCUUUCUCCAAAAUGUAAGCAUAAACCAAAAUGGACUUACCAUUGGUAAUUAACGUAAAUGUUUUAUUAUAGUAACAUUUAACCUAGAAAACCCUAUAAGCACCCACGUUAACCUUACACUAGCAUAUUACAGGAAAGAUUAAAAGAGAAAGAAGGAACUCGGCAAACCUUAGCCCCGCCUGUUUACCAAAAACAUCGCCUCUUGAUUAAAUAUAAGAGGUCCAGCCUGCCCAGUGACAAAGUUUAACGGCCGCGGUACCCUAACCGUGCGAAGGUAGCAUAAUCACUUGUUCUUUAAAUAGGGACUCGUAUCAACGGCAUCACGAGGGCUAUACUGUCUCCUUUCUCCAAUCAGUGAAACUGAUCUUCCCGUGAAGAAGCGGGAAUUAUUAUAUAAGACGAGAAGACCCCAUGGAGCUUUAAACUCAAUAUAUAUUUCUACGCACUUAUAUCACUAUAGCCUAAGAAAAUUAUGUAUUAGUUUUAGGUUGGGGGGACCGCGGAGAAAAAAUUAACCUCCACGACAAAUAGGCCAACGCCUUUAUCUAUGAACCACAAUUCUAAGAAUCAAUAAACUGAUGUUUAAUGAUCCAAUUUUUUGAUCAACGAACCAAGUUACCCUGGGGAUAACAGCGCAAUCUACUUCAAGAGCUCCUAUCGACAAGUGGGUUUACGACCUCGAUGUUGGAUCAGGGUAUCCUAGUGGUGCAGCCGCUACUAAAGGUUCGUUUGUUCAACGAUUAAAACCCUACGUGAUCUGAGUUCAGACCGGAGUAAUCCAGGUCGGUUUCUAUCUAUAAAGUGUUUUCCCUAGUACGAAAGGAUCGGGACAACAUGGCCAAUGCAAAAACAAGCCAUUCUCUUCACUAAUGAAUAUAUCUUAAUUAGUCUAGACCUAAUACUGCACCGCAGAUCAAGGUAG
rnacentral:rRNA from 1 species